rnacentral:tRNA from 1 species
AUCUGCGCAGUAGCUCCUCGGUUUCGGCCCGUGAUUAUAAGAUUAAAAUUCUUACUGA